CUGAAAUCAAUUAAGAAUUUUUUCGCCCAUUAGGAAGAAGAAAAGUUAUUUCAUAUCUCGACAGACUCUCGCUCUGGCCCCCAGGCUGGAUGGAGUGCAGUGGCGCGAUCUCCGCCUCCCAGGUUCCAGCGAUUCUCCCGCCUCAGCUUCCCAAGUAGCUGGGAUUUCAGGCACACGCCACCACACCCAGCCAAUUUUUUUUUAUUAUUAGCAGAGACAGGGUUUCACCAUGUUCGCCAGGCUGGUCUCCAACUCCUGAACUCAGUUCAUCGCCCAUCUCUGCCAACCAAAGUGCUUGGAUUACAGGCGUGAGCCACUGCGCCCAGCCCUUUUUUUCUUUUAUUGUCCUCUCUUAAACUGCCUCUUUCUUGAGUUAAAAAAAAGUAACCGUUUACUGUUUGCUUAGCUAGGCACUAUUGUAAUCUUUUAGCAUAGACUCUUUUUUCCUUUUUAUCUCUACUAUUAAACCUGUGAGGUAGAAAUUAUUAUUCCCAUUUUUCCAGAUGAGGAAAUUGAGGACCAAAAGGUUAAGUAAUUUGCUCAGCAUCACAGAGUUAGUAAGUUCCAGAUCUGGGAUUUAAAUAAAGGUCCGGGUUCUUCACUAUUAUACCAUCUAGCCAGUUUUAGUGGAAAUAGCUAAUCUAAUGGCUUUUUGGAAAGACUACAAAUGAGACUAGAAGAGAGUAGAAUGACUUAAAUCCUGGCAGCUUUUACUUCCUACAUAAUCUUUCAAUCCAGCUUCUCUUCAUUCCUACCACUAUUGCUCUAAUUCAUCUUUGCCUUCUUAAUGGAGUUCUGUGUUUUCAGUAUUUUUCUCAUCAGAAUUGCUCUUCCCACAGAUGCAGAACUAUCUUUCAAAUGUAAAUCUGACAGUGCCAUUCCCUUCCGUAUAAUCCUUUGCUAGUUUCCCUUCACCUACACUAGCAGUUUUCAGACUGUUCAUUGCAUGCAGGUGCUUCAGGGAUUCUGCCAAUGUUCCAUUACAAUUUUAGUUUAAAAUAGUUUUCCUGUUCUAUAUCUUUUUAGAAAGAUAAAAAAUGUUUCAAUAAAAUUUAUUUUUAACCCCUCAAAAUUGGUGCUAGGUUAAGGGGCAGGUCACCAUAUGGCUGCUCACGAUGUUUCAUUUAAGGAGCAUUAAGAGCUUUGUACUAAGUAUAGGAACUUUAUGAUAGAAGAAAAUGUUUAGAUCAUCGGCAAAAUGUAAAUUUGUUCUUCUUUCCCCAAAGUGCUAUAAAACAAAAACAAACAAAGCAAAACAACAGCAGCAAAAACCUAAUUUUCAUUGGUACUGAUGUAUCUUUGUUAAAUAUUUUUACAAUGGGCCCAGGUGAAGUGUAUGACCCAACCACAUUCCUCUGACAAACUUAUGUAGCUGAUUUGGUUAUUCCCAAUUAUUGGUUAUUUUUACUGGAUAUGAACAUUCCCCGAUUUUUAGAGGUAGCUGAGGUGCUUGGGUUUCUUUUUUUUAAUUAUACUUUAAGUUCUAG
rnacentral:lncRNA from 10 species